rnacentral:rRNA from 1 species
GGUGAGUAACGCGUGGGAAUCUACCUAGCUCUACGGAAUAACCCAGGGAAACUUGGACUAAUACCGUAUACGUCCUUCGGGAGAAAGAUUUAUCGGAGUUGGAUGAGCCCGCGUUGAAUUAUAUAGUUGAAGCCCGACUUGAGAUGGACCCGCGUCCCAUCAGCUAGUUGGUGAGGUAAAAGCUCACCAAGGCGACGACGGGUAGCCGGCCUGAGAGGGUGACCGGCCACACUGGGACUGAGACACGGCCCAGACUCCUACGGGGGGCAGCAGUGGGGAAUCUUGCACAAUGGGCGAAAGCCUGAUGCAGCGACGCCGCGUGAGCGAAGAAGG